ACGGGAGGCAGCAGUGGGGAAUAUUGGGCAAUGGGCGCAAGCCUGACCCAGCGACGCCGCGUGAGUGAUGAAGUAUUUCGGUAUGUAAAGCUCUAUCAGCAGGGAAGAUAAUGACGGUACCUGACUAAGAAGCACCGGCUAAAUACGUGCCAGCAGCCGCGGUAAUACGUAUGGUGCAAGCGUUAUCCGGAUUUACUGGGUGUAAAGGGAGUGUAGGUGGUUUGGCAAGCCAGAGGUGAAAACCCGGAGCUCAACUCCGCGGAUUGCCUUUGGAACUGUUGAACUAGAGUGCAGGAGGGGUAAGUGGAAUUCCCAGUGUAGCGGUGAAAUGCGUAGAUAUUGGGAAGAACACCGGUGGCGAAGGCGGCUUACUGGACUGUAACUGACACUGAGGCUCGAAAGCGUGGGGAGCAAACAGGAUUAGAUACCCUGGUA
rnacentral:rRNA from 1 species